UGCAGUCGAGCGGAUGAUGGGGAGCUUGCUCCUUGAUUUAGCGGCGGACGGGUGAGUAAUGCCUAGGAAUCUGCCUGGUAGUGGGGGAUAACGUUCCGAAAGGAACGCUAAUACCGCGUACGUCCUACGGGAGAAAGCAGGGGACCUUCGGGCCUUGCGCUAUCAGAUGAGCCUAGGUCGGAUUAGCUAGUUGGUGAGGUAAUGGCUCACCAAGGCGACGAUCCGUAACUGGUCUGAGAGGAUGAUCAGUCACACUGGAACUGAGACACGGUCCAGACUCCUACGGGAGGCAGCAGUGGGGAAUAUUGGACAAUGGGCGAAAGCCUGAUCCAGCCAUGCCGCGUGUGUGAAGAAGGUCUUCGGAUUGUAAAGCACUUUAAGUUGGGAGGAAGGGCAGUAAGUUAAUACCUUGCUGUUUUGACGUUACCGACAGAAUAAGCACCGGCUAACUUCGUGCCAGCAGCCG
rnacentral:rRNA from 1 species